UUUCCGGCGACCUUGAAGCAUUAUUCUGACUUGUUUCGCUACUCUAAACGCGUUGGUGACAUUUUUGGAUCCAUAUAGACAACCUUGGAGCAUCCCGGGAAAUACAUCAUAAAUAUUCGUAUACGUACGGUAUACGUGGAGGUGAUCAAGGAGUUGGACUUGAUGUUGUAGACGGUUAAUUAUUUUGUGCACUACUAUCGAGGUGAGUUGUUUCUGACACCGGUACUACAGAUCAGCAGGAGGGGGGCGUGACUGUAGUGACCUGGAUGGGUGAUUAGUUUAUGUGUUGGACUUUGGAUGUCCUCUGUUAGUUUGGGAUUAUAUAUAUAUAUAUAUAUGCUACCAGACACAGAAUUCCCAAUACUCCGGAGCACCCUCCAGGUCAUCCAACAUAAAAUUUGAAAACAAACUCAUAAAUAAAUUUAGAUCUAAGUCUUACUCGCUUAGUUUCUUCUACGCUUGCCUGAUCCUUGUCGCUUAUGGUAUCGGAGCCAGAGGCAAGUUUUUGUAUGUAAUUAGAUAACAAGUGGUUAAAAGUUGAUGGUCAGUGCUGAGGCCGUGGUUGUGGUGUGUGCGGCUUAAAGGCUUGAGAUGAUAGCCGUUGUAUGCCGUUUCUGUUCUCCACAACAUGUAGGCAUUGAUCUCAAUUUUUAAGCAUGAGUUUCUCUUUUUA